AUUGAACGCUGGCGGCAGGCCUAACACAUGCAAGUCGAGCGGAUGACGGGAGCUUGCUCCUUGAUUCAGCGGCGGACGGGUGAGUAAUGCCUAGGAAUCUGCCUGGUAGUGGGGGACAACGUUUCGAAAGGAACGCUAAUACCGCAUACGUCCUACGGGAGAAAGCAGGGGACCUUCGGGCCUUGCGCUAUCAGAUGAGCCUAGGUCGGAUUAGCUAGUAGGUGGGGUAAUGGCUCACCUAGGCGACGAUCCGUAACUGGUCUGAGAGGAUGAUCAGUCACACUGGAACUGAGACACGGUCCAGACUCCUACGGGAGGCAGCAGUGGGGAAUAUUGGACAAUGGGCGAAAGCCUGAUCCAGCCAUGCCGCGUGUGUGAAGAAGGUCUUCGGAUUGUAAAGCACUUUAAGUUGGGAGGAAGGGCAGUAAGUUAAUACCUUGCUGUUUUGACGUUACCGACAGAAUAAGCACCGGCUAACUCUGUGCCAGCCGCCGCAGUAACAC
rnacentral:rRNA from 1 species